rnacentral:rRNA from 1 species
UACAGAGACUGCAAGCGUUAUUCGGAUUCACUGGGCGUAAAGGGUGCGCAGGCGGCCGUGUGUGUGAGGCGUGAAAGCCCGGGGCUCAACCCCGGAAUUGCACCUCAAACUACAUGGCUAGAGCAUUGGAGAGGGUAGCGGAAUUCACGGUGUAGCAGUGAAAUGCGUAGAUAUCAGGAGGAACACCAAUGGCGAAGGCAGCUCACUGGGACGGUAUUGACGCUGAGACGCGAAAGCGUGGGGAGCAAACAGG